GUACUCGCUUCAGCUGUACAUGUACUAAACUUCGAACGCUACAGAGAAGAUUAGCAUGGCCCCUGCGCAAGGAUGACAGGCAAAAUCGUGAAGCUUUCCACAUUUUU